CUGAAAUGCUGAUUAAGAAAUUCCAGUUCUAUCUAGGUCUCCUGGGCUGUGACUCGGAGGAGCUGUCACUAAGGGUCCCAGUGUCUUGCCUCAUUUGAAGUUGCUCUUGCGAAUCCAAUCUUUCUCCAUCCUUUGGCAGAUGCUCAUUGACCACUCAGGCCAUGGCGAGCAUUGUUCCAGGUCCGGUUGCAGAUGGCGCCAUGAAGCUGUUUUCUGUAUAGCCCGGAUCAGAGACAUCUCCCGUGUCUCACUGCAUCAU